GGAGAGCGACUAAAUCGCUCAUUCCGUGUGCUCCAAAAGCCUGAACGUGCACCAAUUAGAGCAUUGAGGGCUUCUUCCUAUGGACGGUACCUUCUGAUUCUGUUUCGCGAUGCUCCUGUUGAAGUGUGGGCCAUGACAAAGAACUCCAUGAUGCUUAGGUCCUUGGCGCUUCCUUUUACAGUAUUAGAGUGGACGGCCAGCUGCACCUCGGCCAGGUCAAAAUGCAUCAUCUAAGCAGUCUUCAACAUCCAAGGAGCAAUCAGCAGGUGUAAUUUUCAUUCACUAGCACAACUAUAUAGACUGGAUAGAUUGCCUUCUUAAUCAGUUUAUUAUUAAAGAUAAAUUCUUCAGCUCUUAUCAGGAUCUUUUUGACCAAA